rnacentral:rRNA from 1 species
CACGUAGGGCGCAAGCGUUGUCCGGAAUUAUUGGGCGUAAAGAGCUCGUAGGCGGUCUGUUACGUCUGCUGUGAAAACCCUGGGCUUAACCCUGGGCUUGCAGUGGAUACGGGCAGACUAGAGGCAGGUAGGGGAGAAUGGAAUUCCCGGUGUAGCGGUGAAAUGCGUAGAUAUCCGGAGGAACACCGGUGGCGAAGGCGGCUUCCUGGACCGACACUGACGCUGAGGCGCGAAAGCUAGGGGAGCGAACAGG